UUGAAAGUGAAGGAUCUCAGUCAGAAGCUUCAGGGCAUCCCAGGCUUCAUCUUCCACCUGCAGCUGUGUGAAGGCCAGCAGCUCAAACAUCAGAUUCUGCUUAAAUCACACACUGAGAGCGGGAAGCAGAGGUGGAUCACUGCAAUGUUUCCAUCCGACCCAUUAGAAGACAUCGAGCAAGCCAGUGAAAAUGACGAUAUAUCCCAGGUUCAGUGCAUCAAGAGCUAUCAGGCCCAAGAGCAUGAUGAGUUAACACUGGAAAAAGCUGACAUUCUUCAUGCUAAGACCAUUACAAGUGAUGGCUGGGUGGAGGGCAUCAGGCUGUCGGACGGGGAGAGGGGCUGGUUCCCCAAAU